AUGCUUAAAGCUUUAUGUUUGAAGCAUAGUACUUUUAAUACUGGGAAUCUUUUUUUAGAUAAGCAUA
rnacentral:tRNA from 1 species